UGUGGGAGCGAGCUUGCUCGCGAUGACGGUAGCCCAGUCAGCGACAGGUUGACUGACACACCGCUAUCGCGAGCAAGCUCGCUCCCACA
rnacentral:misc_RNA from 1 species